CGGAGGUCUGAGAAGGUGAGGCAGUUCUGUACCAUGCUGCCUUCCACUGGUUAAGACCUCCAAGAGCAAAGGCCUACCAAGGCAGAGGAUGUCCAUCUGCCACCCUCAAAGGGGCAGUGCUGUGCUGGCUGACAUUUG
rnacentral:snoRNA from 1 species